rnacentral:lncRNA from 1 species
CUUGACUUUUAGGCUCAGCUUGUGGGUGGGGCUGACUUUCCACUGAAAGGAGAGCUUUGGCCAGACAACAGAACAUGUAGUGACAUGACAUCCUCCACCACAAAUAAGCUGUACACAAGCAGAUGGAAGAACAGACACCCCCAGGAAGACGUGUAUUACCAGAGCUACCAUGAGGACAAAGACCUGCAUAGGAGAAAAAUGAUGGUUUAGAAAAUGUAUGGCCAAAAUGUCAGCUCCUUUCUUGAAGGGAGAAGUGAGACUAUAGCUCUGGUAUGUUUUGCCCACCUUUCCAUAUGAGGAUACAGUGCCCAUGGAAAGAGUUUGAUCCCAAAAAGUAUGGAUUGGAAGGUUCUACAGACUGUGGAACAAACAGACCAGGACUGUGUUUGAGAAGGGGAAACAUUAAACCCAUCGGCGCCAAUCAGUUUUUGUCACCACUUUUUCUGGAGCAUCAAUAUGGACCUGAGGUCAGCAUGGACAAAAGACACCACAGAGGACAUGAGGCAUCCAGAUGCCUCUGCUCAUUUUUGUGUGUUUUGGAUCGGCUGUGGUCAAUGGCUUGUCACAGUUACCAGGUCUAUAAUAAAGUGUGAAAAUCCCUGACCAUGUAUUCACGAUCUCACUCCAUGUGAGGUAACAGUUCUGCUGCUCAGUAAUCCACAUUGCCCAGGCCUCCAGUCCCACUUCUAGCUGAUGAAAUUGCUA